GGUAUCUUAGCUCAGUUUGGUAGAGCAACGGACUGAAAAUCCGUGUUUGCCUCGGUUCAAUUCCGAGAGGUACCA
rnacentral:tRNA from 2 species